rnacentral:misc_RNA from 1 species
GAUGAAGAACGUAGCGAAAUGCGAUAAGUAAUGUGAAUUGCAGAAUUCAGUGAAUCAUCGAAUCUUUGAACGCAUCUUGCGCUCCUUGGUAUUCCUUGGAGCAUGCCUGUUUGAGUAUCAUGAGCAAAUCUCAAAGUCAAUUCCUUUUGUUGAUUCAAUUGGUUUUGCUUUGGACUUGGAGGCCUUGCAGAUUUCACAGUCUGCUCCUCUUAAAUGCAUUAGCUGGAUCUCAGUAAUUAUGCUUGGUUCCACUCGGCGUGAUAAGUAUCACUCGCUGAGGACACUGUUAAAAAGGUGGCCAGGAAAAUACUGAUUGAACCGCUUCUAACGGUCUAUUAAGUUAGACAAUUACCCUAAAAUUUGAUCUCAAAUCAGGUAGGACUACCCGCUGAACUUAAGCAUAUAAAUAAGCGGAGGA